UACGUAGGGUGCGAGCGUUAAUCGGAAUUACUGGGCGUAAAGCGUGCGCAGGCGGUUCGUUAAGUCAGAUGUGAAAGCCCCGGGCUCAACCUGGGAACUGCAUUUGAAACUGGCGGGCUUGAGUGCGGCAGAGGGGGGUGGAAUUCCGCGUGUAGCAGUGAAAUGCGUAGAGAUGUGGAGGAACACCGAUGGCGAAGGCAGCCCCCUGGGCUAACACUGACGCCUCAUGCACGAAAGCGUGGGGAGCAAACAGG
rnacentral:rRNA from 1 species